GGUCAUGAGUGUCAGCGACAAGCCCUGGCUUGCUGACCGGCAACCCUCGCUCGGCGGUGGGGUGCCCCAGGUGACGACCGGACCGGAUGACGUUUCGGUAAGCGCGAGGG
rfam:Streptomyces sviceus ATCC 29083 chromosome, whole genome shotgun sequence.